GAUGAACGCUGACCGAAUGCUUAACACAUGCAAGUCAACUUGAACUUCGGUUUGGGUGGCGGACGGGUGAGUAACGCGUAAAGAACUUGCCUCACAGAUAGGGACAACAUUUGGAAACGAAUGCUAAUACCUGAUAUUAUGAUUAUAUGGCAUCGUAUAAUUAUGAAAGCUAUAUGCGCUGUGAGAGAGCUUUGCGUCCCAUUAGCUAGUUGGAGAGGUAACGGCUCACCAAGGCGAUGAUGGGUAGCCGGCCUGAGAGGGUGAUCGGCCACAAGGGGACUGAGACACGGCCCUUACUCCGACGGGAGGCAGCAGUGGGGAAUAUUGGACAAUGGACCAAGAGUCUGAUCCAGCAAUUCUGUGUGCACGAUGAAGUUUUUCGGAAUGUAAAGUGCUUUCAGUUGGGAAGAAAAAAAUGACGGUACCAACAGAAGAAGUGACGGCUAAAUACGUG
rnacentral:rRNA from 1 species